UACGAUGGGGGCAAGUGUUGUUCGGAAUCACUGGGCGUAAAGGGAGCGUAGGCGGGCUCUUAAGUUGGAUGUUUAAAACCGGGGCCCAACCCCGGCGUGGCAUCCAAAACUGGGAGUCUUGAAUGGAACAGAGGCUAGUGGAAUUGGAGGUGUAGCGGUGGAAUGCGUAGAGAUCUCCAAGAACACCCGUUGCGAAGGCGGCUAGCUGGGUUCACAUUGACGCUGAGGCUCGAAAGCGUGGGGAGCAAACAGG
rnacentral:rRNA from 1 species